AUGCAUGUUGCUACCCCCGGGCGCAUUGUCUUGGUCAAAGCGGUCCUCACGGCCAUUGCGAUCUACCAUCUCACGCCGCUGGAGCUGCCCGCUGAGGUCUGGAAAAAGAUUGACAGCCUGCGACGUGCCUACCUUUGGGCUGGUUGCGAUAAGGUGUCGGGCGGAAAAUGCAAGGUUAACUGAGAUCUUGUUUGCAAGCCUAAGAUUUUUGGCGGCUUGGGUGUGCUUAAUCUCGAGAAGUUUGCGACCGCCCUUCUUCUUCGCUGGCUUUGGUUCGAAUGGGCAGACCCUCCUAGGACUUGGUUGGGGAUGGAAACGCCUUGUUCAAACAGUGACAGAGAUUUGUUCUCGGCUUCCACAAUAAUGACUAUUGGGGAUGGCAAAAAGGCUAAAUUCUGGGAAUCCCCAUGGCUAAAUGGUCUCCGGCCUAAAGACAUCGCGCCAAAGAUCUUUGAAGUGUCCAAGAAGAAGGCAUGUUUGGUUAACAAGGCCCUUGACAACAACUUCUGGAUCCAGCAAAUCGACACUACUCAGGGACUGACUUUGCCACACAUUCAGGAGUUUGUGGUUUUGUGGGAGAUGACUGAUGUGUUGCUCUCAAUCCUGAUAGGAAGGACACUAUAUCUUGGAAAUUCACUUCCAGUGGCGACUAUUCGGCGGCUACGGCGUACACGGCGCAGUUCGAGGGCCAAGUUCUCAGCUCAACCUCUCCCACAAUCCGGAGGAAUUGGGCUCCCCCGAAAUGCAAAUUCUUCACUUGGCUUAUCAUCCAAAACCGUGUGUGGACGGCAGAUCGGUUACAGCGGCGAGGUUGGCCAAACUGCGGACUUUGCCCCCUAUGCAAACAAGUCCAAGAAUCUGCCGCCCAUCUUCUUUUCCAAUGUAGAUUCACUGCCCGCGUCUGGACUGAGGUGGUCACCUGGCUUGGCAUUCAGGACCACUCACCGCUGA
rnacentral:rRNA from 1 species